AGUAGGGAAUCUUCCGCAAUGCGCGAAAGCGUGACGGGGCAAUGCCGCGUGCAGGAUGAAGCCCCUCGGGGUGUAAACUGCUGUCAGGGUGCAGGAAAGACAUGACCAUACCCAAAGGAAGCACCGGCUAACUCUGUGCCAGCAGCCGCGGUAAUACAGAGGGUGCGAGCGUUAAUCGGAAUCACUGGGCUUAAAGGGUGCGUAGGCGGAUGCAUAGGCGCUUUGUGAAAUCCCACGGCUCAACCGUGGAAUUGCUUGGCGAACCAUGCGUCUUGAGGUUGGUAGAGGUCACUGGAACGAUAGGUGGAGCGGUGAAAUGCGUAGAUAUCUAUCGGAACGCCAAAGGUGAAGACAGGUGACUGGGCCAAAUCUGACGCUGAGGCACGAAAGCGUGGGGAGCAAACGGGAUUAGAUACCCCGGUAGUCCACGCUGUAAACGAUGCAUACUUGGUCGGAGUGGUUUGACUCCAUUCCGGCCGUAGGAAAACUGAUGAGUA
rnacentral:rRNA from 1 species